AACGAACGCUGGCGGCAUGCCUAACACAUGCCAGUCGAACGAUUGCCUUCGGGUGAUAGUGGCGCACGGGUGCGUAACGCGUGGGAAUCUGCCCUUAGGUUCGGAAUAACAGCUGGAAACGGCUGCUAAUACCGGAUGAUAUCGCGAGAUCAAAGAUUUAUCGCCUGAGGAUGAGCCCGCGUUGGAUUAGGUAGUUGGUGGGGUAAAGGCCUACCAAGCCGACGAUCCAUAGCUGGUCUGAGAGGAUGAUCAGCCACACUGGGACUGAGACACGGCCCAGACUCCUACGGGAGGCAGCAGUGGGGAAUAUUGGACAAUGGGCGCAAGCCUGAUCCAGCAAUGCCGCGUGAGUGAUGAGGGCCCUAGGGUUGUAAAGCUCUUUUACCCGGGAAGAUAAUGACUGUACCGGGAGAAUAAGCCCCGGCUAACUCCGUG
rnacentral:rRNA from 1 species